rnacentral:tRNA from 1 species
GCCGGGGUGGCGGAAUUGGUAGACGCACGAGACUCAAAAUCUCGCGGUGGCGACACCUUGUCGGUUCGAGUCCGACUCCCGGUACCA